GCUGUCUGGGUUUAGCAAUCACAGUACACCACUGGAAUCUUUCCUACAGAAAUCUAUUAUGGAAUUUAGAUUUAAAGUGGACUAAAAGCCAAGCUGUCAAAUUGCAGUGAGGAGUCUCUGUCCACCCCCAGGACCAGGAACUGCAUACAAGAGAGGAAUCAAAGACUGAAUGUUCUUUCUUUGUUGGUGGCAUGAGCCAUACCUCAGAAAAUCAAAAAUCUCCUCAGAGGACUAACCUGUCCCUCAUCUGCCACUCUUCAACAUCCAGGUGUGCCCUAGAUGGCCAAGCCAGGCACAGCAAAGAGCAUCCUCAUUGCCUCCAGCAAGAGCAGCAGUCUCUUCACCACCAGUCAAGUAGUAGUCACGUCACUUGCAGUACAUUCCUUCAAAGAUUCCCCCCUUUAGGAUAUAGUGGAAAAGUCACCUUGUGCUGUCCUUACAUUAGCUGAGACAUUCAUUCCUAAAAACCUCUCAACCCCUCCAGUGACUGAAGUAGCCACCCAGCUUCUCCUUUCUAACAGCAAGCAUUUUUCCAGCAUCCUGAAGAAUGAGUUUGCAGAUCCCAAGGGUCAUUACUUUAAACAGCAAUGCACCAGCUUGCAGCACUGGGGUGUUGCAACCCCAAAAUCUGCACCUUUGGCCUUUCUAUGACCAGGUCUUAAGGGUUUCUCACCAAUUGGUCUACCUAAAGACUCAAGUGUCUGCUUGUGGAACUGGCUCCCAGGAGUGUCAACAUUUCCCCCAGAGCACGGCACAGAGAAGGCACCUCUGCCUUUGAUAGAGUUGGAAUGCAAAACUCCCUCAGGUCCGUCUACAUCCAGGCACGGCAACUCACCUUGUGAGGGAUUAACAACAGUGACAAAGGACAGCUCUUUCUCCAGAGCUAGCAGGGGGAUUAUUUCAUGUACUCUGGAUCAAAUGGUACAUUAACAGUACUACAGGAACUGGCAAGGAACUGGUGAGGAAACGUCCAUUAAUUUAACAUCUGAAUGAUCACUGCCUAACACUACAUAAAUGUAAUAAAUCACUUCACUUAAUCUUGAACA
rnacentral:lncRNA from 1 species